rnacentral:sRNA from 1 species
CCGUAGCCAUUUUUUGUUCAAG